rnacentral:rRNA from 1 species
CGCCUUGCCAGCCCGCUCAGAACUUAAAGGAAUUGACGGGGCCGCACAAGCGGUGGAGCAUGUGGUUUAAUUCGAUGAUACGCGAGGAACCUUACCUGGGCUCGAACGUAAGAUGACUGUAGGUGAAAGCUUACAUCUCUUCGGAGCAUUUUACGAGGUGCUGCAUGGUUGUCGUCAGCUCGUGCCGUGAGGUGUCGGGUUAAGUCCCAUAACGAGCGCAACCCCUACCUUUAGUUGCCAUCAGGUUAAGCUGGGGACUCUAAAGGAACUGCCUACGCAAGUAGUGAGGAAGGCGGGGAUGACGUCAAAUCAGCACGGCCCUUACGUCCAGGGCUACACACGUGCUACAAUGGCCGAUACAGAGGGCAGCUACCUGGUGACAGGAUGCAAAUCUCCAAAGUCGGUCUCAGUUCGGAUCGGAGUCUGCAACCCGACUCCGUGAAGUUGGAUUCGCUAGUAAUCGCGCAUCAGCCAUGGCGCGGUGAAUACGUUCCCGGGCCUU